AGAGGAUGACCAGCCACACUGGAACUGAGACACGGUCCAGACUCCUACGGGAGGCAGCAGUGGGGAAUAUUGCACAAUGGGCGCAAGCCUGAUGCAGCCAUGCCGCGUGUAUGAAGAAGGCCUUCGGGUUGUAAAGUACUUUCAGCGGGGAGGAAGGGAGUAAAGUUAAUACCUUUGCUCAUUGACGUUACCCGCAGAAGAAGCACCGGCUAACUCCGUGCCAGCAGCCGCGGUAAUACGGAGGGUGCAAGCGUUAAUCGGAAUUACUGGGCGUAAAGCGCACGCAGGCGGUUUGUUAAGUCAGAUGUGAAAUCCCCGGGCUCAACCUGGGAACUGCAUCUGAUACUGGCAAGCUUGAGUCUCGUAGAGGGGGGUAGAAUUC
rnacentral:rRNA from 1 species